rnacentral:lncRNA from 1 species
CUCGGCUUUUACCUGCUGUUCUGUUCCAGGGUCCCACAUGACAAGUAGUCUUCAUGCCUCCUUAGGCAUGUUUUGGCUGUGACAAUUUCUCAGACUUGUUUUGAUGAUCAUGAGUGUUUGAGGCGUCACUGGAGUUACAUUCUUUUUCCUUCUUUUCUUUUUUCUUUUUCCUUGAGACGGAGUUUCGCUCUUGUUGCCCAGGCUGGAGUGCAAUGGUGCAAUCUCGGCUCACUGCAACCUCCGCCUCCCGGGUUCAAGCGAUUCUACUGCCUGAGUCUCCCGAGUUCAAGCGAUUCUCCUGCCUCAGCCUCUCGAGUAGCUGGAAUUACAGGCACACGCCAUUAUGCCCAGCU